AACGUGCAUAUAUUUAUUUAUUUAAAAGUAACAACCGAUUUAUUACGCAAAAAAUGCCCUGUGUUCUUAAAAGCCAUCACAUGUACUGCUAUUAUUUAUCUAUGUAGUUAGCAACACAACAGAACACAACAUUGCAAUCAGCCACAGCGACGUCGGCAACACUGCUACAGUGUAAAAGUAAUACAAAGAGCAGCCGACACAACGUAUACCUAACCCCUAAAAGCGACAUACAAACCAUAGUCACAGCUAAAGUCAAUGGUUAUUCUGCACAAAAUAUAUCGCCUAAUGACAACAAGCAGGAAGUAUAAGUAGAAGAAGGGAUUACAAGUCAUACCCUUACAUUGAGCAAAAAUAUACAUACAUAUAAAUAUGAAUUAAGCACAGCUACCGUAACCAAAUAUACAGCAAUAGCAGAAACACCAGCUACAUAUAAUAAUAGAAAUAAUAAAACAGCAACAGAAGCAGCAAUAAUAACUUCAAUGAAGCUGUGCCAAAAGCAACUUGAAUCUUCUUUGUGCUCCAUAUCACGCAGCCUUCUCCACUACUCCAGUUUGUAACAUUUUGGCUGAAUCCGGACUUCCUGACCUCACCGAACGGGUGGAAUAUAUGACCGCUGGACUUAUAUACAAAGUUUCAUCCUGCAACAACUCCAACCUGUAUAAAAAUGUACUCAAUGCUAUAAAUAGGAAACGCUUCCCAAAGAGGCUCUCGGCACUACAUGGCGAGGUUCUCUGUCUAGAGAAAUGUAUAUACCGGUUAAACCCACUCGGCAAGCUCA
rnacentral:lncRNA from 1 species